AACGAACGCUGGCGGCAGGCUUAACACAUGCAAGUCGAGCGCCCCGCAAGGGGAGCGGCAGACGGGUGAGUAACGCGUGGGAAUCUACCCAUCUCUACGGAAUAACGCAUGGAAACGUGUGCUAAUACCGUAUACGUCCUUCGGGAGAAAGAUUUAUCGGAGAUGGAUGAGCCCGCGUUGGAUUAGCUAGUUGGUGGGGUAAAGGCCUACCAAGGCGACGAUCCAUAGCUGGUCUGAGAGGAUGAUCAGCCACACUGGGACUGAGACACGGCCCAGACUCCUACGGGAGGCAGCAGUGGGGAAUAUUGGACAAUAGGCGCAAGCCUGAUCCAGCCAUGCCGCGUGAGUGAUGAAGGCCCUAGGGUUGUAAAGCUCUUUCACCGGUGAAGAUAAUGACGGUAACCGGAGAAGAAGCCCCGGCUAACUUCGUGCCAGCUGCCGCCGUAAAAC
rnacentral:rRNA from 1 species